CUCUCUCACACACACACACACAUAUUAAGAUCAGAGGGAUUUAUCAUACACCAAAUGCCGCCGGCGACGGAGGAACCUAACAAGACGGCGUCCUCGACAAGAUUUAUGAGUUCUCGGCCUCGCACAUCUUCGAUUUCAUCAAGGACGAGACCGAUGAUGACAAGAUCAAGGCCGAGCUAUGGUUUGACUCCGCCACAGCCUACGCCCCUUCCCCCUUCAUGCCUAGAAUCAAGAUUGGUGGCAUCAGUUUUAUUGGGUUUUCAAUCUUAUUAAUUUCAAGAAUCGAAGUGAUAUGGGUUUUACCACGAUCUCAUCUUGAUUGAAGGUGGUAGUGGACCCAAUUCUCUAUGCUCAACGAUAUGAGUAGAUUGAAGGUGGUAGUGGCCUUCAAAUCUGGGUUCUUAUAUAAUAUAUUAGACUAUAAAUGGGUUCUAAAGGUGCUAAUAUUGAAUGUGGAUUUUAAUAUUUUUAAAAGAUUAUGGGACUUUCUAGUUCCUAUGCCUCUUUCCUAAUCAAAUAGAUUAUUUAGUUUCUGCUGAGUUGUUCAAGUUGUUGUCUCGAGUAAACCAUUCAGGCAGAGUACUUGACUUAUUAUUCAGUCAUGGAAUUUGGCUAGUUUGUAGUUAUACCCUCCUUCAUUAAAUUGCCAGUCUAAAAGUUCAGAUCAUUGGUUUGUAAGCAAAACAGAUAGAAUGUUCAUUCCUUGUGAUUGAUUUCGAUGCUUCACUAUCUAGUCCAUCUCAAUUUCUUUUGUUGGUUGAAACAUAUAUGUUAAGGUCCUUUGUUGAUUUUCAGUAGCUUAGGUUAUUUUGAAGGAUGAAACAGCCUAGGCUGGUUCUUGAUUGCUUUUGAAGAAUAUGGUAAUUUCAGAGAACACCAAGAUACCAAUGAUGAUCAAGAUUACCAAUGUGGGUCUUUACCUUCUCAGUUUCCAUUAUUAUAUGUAGGAUAAUCUCCAGUUUGUUUUUUUUUUCUCCAUAGAGAUUGAUAAGUGCUGCAUAUGCUAAUAUACUUGG